AUUGAACGCUGGCGGCAGGCCUAACACAUGCAAGUCGAGCGGAUGAAGGGAGCUUGCUCCUGGAUUCAGCGGCGGACGGGUGAGUAAUGCCUAGGAAUCUGCCUGGUAGUGGGGGAUAACGUCCGGAAACGGGCGCUAAUACCGCAUACGUCCUGAGGGAGAAAGUGGGGGAUCUUCGGACCUCACGCUAUCAGAUGAGCCUAGGUCGGAUUAGCUAGUUGGUAGGGUAAAGGCCUACCAAGGCGACGAUCCGUAACAGGUCUGAGAGGAUGAUCAGUCACACUGGAACUGAGACACGGUCCAGACUCCUACGGGAGGCAGCAGUGGGGAAUAUUGGACAAUGGGCGAAAGCCUGAUCCAGCCAUGCCGCGUGUGUGAAGAAGGUCUUCGGAUUGUAAAGCACUUUAAGUUGGGAGGAAGGGCAGUAAGUUAAUACCUUGCUGUUUUGACGUUACCAACAGAAUAAGCACCGGCUAACUUCGUG
rnacentral:rRNA from 1 species